AAAAGGAGACAGAAGAUUGAAGCCUUUGCCAGCCAUUCUUUCCCUUUUUGCUUUCAAAUUCCUCAACUGGGAACCUUCAUAUGUGCAGUAUUUAUAUUGGAUCAUACUGGUGAUAAUAAAGGUUCCUAAGAGGCUAGAAGAGCCAACCAACAGAGACAGGAAAGCAGUCUGUUCUGAACAUAGGGACAUAAGUUCAUUCAUGCCAAGUAUCUUUCCAGCAUGUUUCUCCCAUUUAGAAAAAUCUAGCAUGUAACGCCUUUUAAUAUUAACAUAAGCCCAAAUACCAGCUCUUUCCCUUUGUAUUUCAUCUCUUUCUACUCUCCUACUUGUAUUGUGUGUUCCUA
ensembl:misc_RNA